GCAGAGUAAAAAUAUGUGCGUUAAGUGUUUCAGACACGGGGAGUUGGUCUGGAAACGAAAAGAAUUCUUGCGAUACAUAUUUUGCAUCCCGCUGU
rnacentral:ncRNA from 1 species